AUGAUCUUGGAAUACAAGGUUAAAUUAGCUGAACAUGCAUAUGGGCCGGAGAAAUCAUGCAUGGACGUGGGACUCCUCUUGGUUGACCAAUGGGAAAAUGAGUUUGGCUCAUCCACGUACAUGACAGGUAACAAGGCAAGUCAGUUUGUAAAGGAAAGUGAUCAAAAGAGACAGGAAAAUAAAGACUGUUAUUUUUUUAGUCGGUCACGACCACCAGAAGUUGCUGAUGGUUUGCCUAACAAGCAUCGCUCGUGGAGAUUAUUCUCCCUGAAGGACACGGGCUGGGGUCGACCAACAUGCAUGGCAAUUAGAGAUAACGUGCAUGACACAAAUAUUAGAUACAUCUGUUUAAAUUUUUCUGGUUCUAGUCGGUUGGGUACUUUUCUUUUGGGUCAAGUCAGAGGUGCGUCUACUACUAUAAAGCUGAGCCUACGUGCUUUGUAG
rnacentral:rRNA from 1 species